rnacentral:lncRNA from 10 species
GCGAAUAAUGGAGGUGGUUAGGAAAGGACUUUUGAAGAGCUGACAUUUCACCUGGUGUAUGGAGGAAUGUGAAGAAGCCAGUCAUGAGGAAAGUCUGGGAUAGAGCACCCCAGGCAGAGGGAACAGCAGAGUGAAGUGGAAGAGAUCUUGCAACAUUUCCUGCCCCACUGACCCCCUACUUUGGGCCUUAGCCCCAAGAGAAGAAGUAUGACUACCCUACUGUUCACAAACAAAGAUGUGGAAUCAACCUAAGUGUCCAUCAAUGGAUAAUUGGAUAAAGAAAAUGUGGCAUAGAUCUAUACAAUGGAAUACUAUUCAGCUAUAAAAAAGACUGAAAUCACAUCUUUUACAAAAACAUGGAUGAAACUGGAGGCCAUUCUCUUUAAGUGAAAUCACUCGGAAAUAGAAAGUCAAAUACCGCAUGUUCUCACUUACAAGUGGGAGCUACAUAAUAUGUACUCAUGGACAUAGAGUGUGGAAUGAUGGACAUUGGAGACUUGGAAGGGUGGAGGUGGAUGGGAGGGGUUGAGGGAUGAGAAAUUAUUUAAUAGGUACAAUGUAUAUUAUUUCGGUGAUGGUUACACUAAAAACCCAGACUUCACCACUGGGCAAUAUAUCCGUGUAAUAAAACUGCAUUUGUACCCCUUAAAUUUAUACAACUAAUAAAUAAAGAAGUAUGGCUACUCUUCUAGAGAAAUAACAUGGAGAGGUCCUGAACAGCAGCA